rnacentral:misc_RNA from 1 species
UUGGUUUGUUACUGGUGGUCGGCUCAAUUGCUUGUGCACAACUUCCACCUGACAUGCAUGCUCGGACAUCAUUAAGGCUUUGAUUUCCUGAACCAAUUGUGGGUUUCUUGUGUUGCCUACCUAACAUACGGUAUUGGUUUUGCUUAUCUAUGUUUCGUUCGUCUUUUGUCAUGAUCAUGAAGUUAGAUGAACCCCAAACCUGUCUCUUUGAGCCAUAUCAUUAAUAUAUGUGUUGAUGNAGUGGUNCAUGGACCCUAGCUUGGUAUCUUCGAUGUAGUGCUUAAUGUGGSCAUGGGUCUCAUGGAUCCUGUUAUGUCUUUGUUUAGUGUUUACGCUCCUUAAAAUGACUGCUUGACGCGUGUUGGCUCGUAAAAGCGUGUUGGGCUCUGUCUAAGAGGACUGUUACCUGGU